CACGCCGUAAACGAUGAGUGCUAGGUGUCGGGGGUUCACACCCUCGGUGCCGGAGUUAACGCAUUAAGCACUCCGCCUGGGGAGUACGGUCGCAAGACUGAAACUCAAAGGAAUUGACGGGGACCCGCACAAGCAGCGGAGCAUGUGGUUUAAUUCGAAGCAACGCGAAGAACCUUACCAGGACUUGACAUCCCUUUGACCAGUCCUUAAUCGGACUUUUCCCUUCGGGGACAAAGGAGACAGGUGG
rnacentral:rRNA from 1 species